rnacentral:rRNA from 1 species
AGAAUCAACGCUGGCGGCGUGCCUAACACAUGCAAGUCGAACGAGAAAGUGGUAGCAAUACCAUGAGUAAAGUGGCGCACGGGUGAGUAACACGUGACUAACCUACCCUUGAGUGGGGGAUAACUGAGGGAAACCUUAGCUAAUACCGCAUAAUACCCACGGGUCAAAGGAGCAAUUCGCUCGAGGAGGGGGUCGCGGCCGAUUAGUUAGUUGGCAGGGUAAUGGCCUACCAAGACGAUGAUCGGUAUCCGGCCUGAGAGGGCGCACGGACACACUGGAACUGAAACACGGUCCAGACUCCUACGGGAGGCAGCAGUGGGAAUUUGCGCAAUGGGGGAAACCCUGACGCAGCAACGCCGCGUGGAGGAUGAAGUCCUUCGGGACGUAAACUCCUUUCGAUCGGGACGAUUAUGACGGUACCGGAAGAAGAAGCCCGGCUAACUCGUGCCAGCAGCCGC